GCAGAACGCGAAGAACCUUACCUGGCCUUGACAUCCUAGGAAUCCCGAAGAGAUUUGGGAGUGCCGCAAGGAACCUAGAGACAGGUGCUGCAUGGCUGUCGUCAGCUCGUGUCGUGAGAUGUUGGGUUAAGUCCCGCAACGAGCGCAACCCUUAUCGUAUGUUGCCAGCAUUUAGUUGGGCACUCGUGCGAGACUGCCGGUGAUAAGCCGGAGGAAGGCGGGGACGACGUCAAGUCAUCAUGGCCCUUACGUGUGGGGCUAGAAACGUGCUACAAUGGGAGUGACAGUGAGCAGCGAGGUCGCGAGGCCAAGCUAAUCUCCAAAAGCUCUCUCAGUUCAGAUUGUAGUCUGCAACUCGACUACAUGAAGUUGGAAUCGCUAGUAAUCGCAAAUCAGCAUGUUGCGGUGAAUACGUUCCCGGGUCUUGUACACACCG
rnacentral:rRNA from 1 species